CACGUAGGGUGCGAGCGUUGUCCGGAAUUAUUGGGCGUAAAGAGCUCGUAGGCGGUUUGUUGCGUCGGCUGUGAAAUCCCGAGGCUCAACCUCGGGUCUGCAGUCGAUACGAGCAAACUAGAGUGUUGCAGGGGAGACUGGAAAUCCUGGUGUAGCGGUGAAAUGCGCAGAUAUCAGGAGGAACACCGGUGGCGAAGGCGGGUCUCUGGGCAACAACUGACGCUGGAGACGCGAAAGCGUGGGGAGCAAACAGG
rnacentral:rRNA from 1 species